rnacentral:lncRNA from 1 species
GCAAAUCUUCUUUUUUCUCUUUUUUUUCCCCCAGUGCUGGGGAUGGAACCCAGGACCUUACACAGGCUAAGGAAGCCUCUACUUCUGAUCACCCACAGGCCAAAACUUCACCUGUCAAUACAAGCUGUUGUCUGGAGGGUGCUGUCCUUCUACUCUUUAGGGAGAAGACAUUGGAGACUGUUCAGUCCUCUUGCUUCCCAUGUCUGGAAUCCAUGUCUUUGGGAGACAGGCAGAGACUGUCUAACAGCUAGACAUACUGGAGUUCUCCAAGUCCAGCUGCUUUCUUCCUCACUGCCCUGAUCAUGCUGUUCAGCAGUCGUCAAACAGGAAUCACUAUUACCUGUCACAUUCAUGGUUUAGUUAUGUCAGGAUAGCUGAUGUUUCUAGUGAUGACCCAAGAAACUAGAAGAUAAAACCAUGUGGAGUGUUAGAUUCAUACCAUUGUAUUCCAAGUCUGGAAAACUGGCUGCUCUUGGGAGCUACCAAUAUUCCCAAUUGAACCUCACUUCAGUCUUACUCUAUGGGGCUGGUUUGGAAGGUAUUUUUGAGAUUCCUCACACCUGCUUUUCUGCUCUGUCCCCGCUCCUUAAUUUUCCUCAUGGGAACUCCUAGUGCCUCUUCUUUGAGGCAGGAAAUGCUUUGUUCUUCCAUGUUGCAAAUCCUUCUUGAAACUCUUAGAAAACUAUUUUUUUAUUAGUUAAUGAGGCAGUGAGGGUCAGAGUGACAGUAGCCCUUGGACUGCAGUGUAUGCAUUUUAGAACUACAUCUGGGUUUUAAGACUCGCAGGCACUGGUAGGGCCAUAUUUCUCUUUCCUGCUUUUC